GCCGAAGUGGUGAAAUUGGCAGACACGUAGCGUUCAGGGCGCUAUGGCCGCAAGGCUGUGUGGGUUCGACUCCCACCUUCGGCA
rnacentral:tRNA from 1 species